UUUGGCCGGCCAUAGCAAGAAAACAAAGGGGAAAAGAAAAACAAAAACCUAGGUAGAGAAAUUCAAGGGAAAAUUGGUGAAAAUUCAAGGAAACAAGUGACAAAAGGUAAAAUUUCUUGAUUUUGACUUGUGAUCUACCUUUCCCAUACUUUUCUCCUUAUUUUUCAUGGUUAGAUUUCAUGUUUACAUGGUGAAUUCAUGGCUGCCCAAAAUGGGUAUGGAGAGAGAAUGAAGUUAGAUUAAUUUGAUUUUAAGUUAUGUUAGUCUUUUAAGUUAGUUUAGCAUAUUUAGGAACAAAACAACAAGAAAAGAAUUUAUUUUCCUCCAUUGCCAUUAUUGGCCGAAUUUCUAGGGGAAUAUUGGCUGAUGAUCUUGAUGUUUAUUUGAGAAAUUAUGAUGAAUAAUGAUGAAUUAUAAGCCUAGAAAAAUAAUGAGAAUUUUUGGAGCAAAAAUAUAAAUUUUUACCCACUAGGGGUAUUUUCGUAAUUUGCUAUCGAGACUGAUAAAUUGAAUCUCAUUCACAGUCACUAAGGUAAUUUAAGUAUAAUUGGAGUGUAGAAAGUGAGAAGAAUUGAUUUGGAGUUAAAUUGGAGAUAAUAGGCCAAAUUAGGUCAGCACCGCAUUUAAGCGGUAGUCGGAUAAGUUGCAUGUCAUAUCAUGCAUAUACACCGAGCCUGAAUUGAUUUUAUAAUGGUCAAGCAUUAAUGUGGUGAAUUAUGUAUUGUACAUUGUGGAUAGGCGGUGAGCAAAUUACACUGGUAAAAGUACAGAGAUUGUGCUUGAAGACUGGGGUUAGGAGUAUAUCGACUCCUAGAACUGUGAGUGGACAAUUUAUCGUCUUAAAUAUCUAGAGUAAUUAUACUUGUUUGAUGCUUUUAUUGAAUGGUGAGUUUAAAUUAUAAAAUAUUAUGUUUUCCAAUUAAAAUGUUUUUUUUUAAUAAAAAUGAGAUUUAUACUGGUUUUGCAAUCAAAUAUUGUUUUGAGAAAAUUGAGUAUAUGGAGACUAUGUUGAAAUUUAUGAUUUUAUAUGUUAUUGAAAUUGGGGCUUAUGACACUAUGGUAGCAUGAUGGUUAAAUUUUUGGGGUUGGCAUGAAAUAUAUGAAUAGUUUUGGAUUGGUCUCGAUAGACUGGAUUAAAUUUUAUUCGCCAUAUUAUGCUACUGAAAAUUUUAUGGGUCUGGUGGUAUAUUAAACGGUCACUGCAGUGGUGAGAGUUUCCAUGGACUGCCUAUGAGAGGGGUACGAUAACCCAAUUAUAUACUUACCUCCGAGGGGAGAUGUUGGGUGAAGUAUCUCUUGAGGUAUGAUUUGAGUGCACCUCACGUUCGGGACACCACGUGAGAGUGAGACUCAGCCAACGCCAAGGAACGACUGUGUGUCAGAUGUGAAAACAUGUUUAUGGGUAUGGGUCAUUAAACAACCUUGGCGGUCUCAUGGGAUACUUUGAUAAAGGUACCCGCGAGAAUGAUAUUGGCAGGGGCCAAGUUUAAGAAAUUCAUAAGCUGAGAAAUUUUGAUGAAAAGAAAUUGUUUGGUAUAGAUUGAAACGAAAUUUGUGUUAUGAACAUUAUUGAGAUAUAACGUUUUUAUAUUGUCUCCAUCUACUCGGCUUUAGAUGCUUUUGAUGGUAAUUGUUUACUCACUGGGAUUAUGUAAUCAUAAUCUCACCCCUCUUCCUAUCCAUUUUUCAGGCUUAGGACAAUUUGUUGAUAGUUGAUUAAGACGAUAAUUAAUUUCGGAGUUGCAUCCUAGAAAGUAAGGGUUCGUAGCCCUACAUCUUCUUAGUCAAUUGAGGGCCCACGUGUCACUGUAAAAGUAAUUUUAUUCUUCAGUUAUUUGAUUUAAAGUAUGUAUGAAUAUACUAAGAUUUUACACCAUGUUUUUGGCGAGUUUCGAUAUUUUUGAAGAAAAAUGACGAAAAUGCCCCUGUGAGUCAAAAAGUAAUAUUUUAUUGUUUUGAUUUGGAAAUGACUUAUGAUUUUUUUGAAAUGUGCGAUUUAAUAACUGUCUCUCACUAGGGAGAUGCGGAAGCUGAUGCUAAGCCUUGCGGGGUUUCGAUCGGCAUUCGGGGUAAUGAGUACCUAUCGGGACGUCGCGGCGGUUGUCACGGGCUUGAUGGGAGUUCCGGGUCGUGACAUCUUUA
rnacentral:lncRNA from 1 species